GAUGAACGCUGGCGGCGUGCUUAACACAUGCAAGUCGAACGAUGAAGCCCAGCUUGCUGGGUGGAUUAGUGGCGAACGGGUGAGUAACACGUGAGUAACCUGCCCUUAACUCUGGGAUAAGCCUGGGAAACUGGGUCUAAUACCGGAUAGGAGCGUCCACCGCAUGGUGGGUGUUGGGAAGAUUUAUCGGUUUUGGAUGGAUUCGCGGCCUAUCAGCUUGUUGGUGAGGUAAUGGCUCACCAAGGCGACGACGGGUAGCCGGCCUGAGAGGGUGACCGGCCACACUGGGACUGAGACACGGCCCAGACUCCUACGGGAGGCAGCAGUGGGGAAUAUUGCACAAUGGGCGCAAGCCUGAUGCAGCGACGCCGCGUGAGGGAUGACGGCCUUCGGGUUGUAAACCUCUUUCAGUAGGGAAGAAGCGAAAGUGACGGUACCUGCAGAAGAAGCACCGGCUAACUACGUG
rnacentral:rRNA from 1 species